rnacentral:rRNA from 1 species
AUGGGGGGAACCCUGAUCCAGCCAUGCCGCGUGUGUGAAGAAGGCCUUAUGGUUGUAAAGCACUUUAAGCGAGGAGGAGGAGCUCUAAGUUAAUACCUAAGAUGCAUGUGGACGUUACUCGCAGAAUAAGCACCGGCUAACUCUGUGCCAGCAGCCGCGGUAAUACAGAGGGUGCGAGCGUUAAUCGGAUUUACUGGGCGUAAAGCGUACGUAGGCGGCUUUUUAAGUCGGAUGUGAAAUCCCUGAGCUUAACUUAGGAAUUGCAUUCGAUACUGGGAAGCUAGAGUAUGGGAGAGGAUGGUAGAAUUCCAGGUGUAGCGGUGAAAUGCGUAGAGAUCUGGAGGAAUACCGAUGGCGAAGGCAGCCAUCUGGCCUAAUACUGACGCUGAGGUACGAAAGCAUGGGGAGCAAACAGGAUUAGAUACCCUGGUAGUCCAUGCCGUAAACGAUGUCUACUAGCCGUUGGGGCCUUUGAGGCUUUAGUGGCGCAGCUAACGCGAUAAGUAGACCGCCUGGGGAGUACNGUCGCAAGACUANNACUCAAAUGAAUAGACGGGGGCNCGCACAAGCGGUGGAGCAUGUGGUUUAAUNCGAUGC